rnacentral:lncRNA from 1 species
UGUAUAGAUUUUUAAUCGUAAUUUUGUCAAAUUCGGUGGUAUAGUACUAUGGAUAGCAAAAAUUUAUUUGCCAAGAUCAGUGUGAAUUUAUGUCAAGCCAGGCUAGCCAGCCCUUCAAAAGUUAACCGAGUACACAAAGGAGUUCUCACAAGAAACCUUCUAUAAACACAGCUCCCGAUGUGCUUAGGCAGAAUAAAAAAAAAGGCUUCAGUUCAGAAGAUUCACAUACUUGAGGAGGGUUAAUCGAAACUCAUCGUUGGCUUUGAAAGAUACUAUUUUGGAGAGACAAUAAAGAGAUAAAGGUUUGUAAUUGUGUUUUCCUUUCCUUCUAUAUCUAUUUUGUAUGUAUAUAAGAAAAACUAUCACUCAUGUGCUUCAUUAUAUAUUGGCGGAACGUUUAUAAUCUUUGUAUGAAUAUUAGUUAACUCAUAUUUAUGAAUAAAAGCAAAAAAAAUAGAACCAUAGAGGAAGAGAGUUCAAUAACUUAUCUCAUUUUUCCAUGUUUAGCAGGACCACUAUAUGAUUGUUUUCUGAUGAAGAUGAUAGUUGAUGAAUCCAAUUUUCUUAAUGCAUUGUGGCCUUUAGGUUCUGCUUUGUACUAUUUGAGCCUAUUACGCAGGAUUGUGAAGGAGUUGGUGUUCUUCAUCCGUAAAAAGAUUGCAUAUGGUGCAUGUCUGAUUCAUUUUUUAGCACUGAAUCCAAGUUUUAUUAUUGUAGAAUCAUUAACCUUCACAAUUAAGAAGAGCCUUUUUUUCGCAUACUUGAGGAGGGUUAAUCGAAACUCAUCGUUGGCUUUGAAAGAUACUAUUUUGGAGAGACAAUAAAGAGAUAAAGG